rnacentral:rRNA from 1 species
CUUCCGCCGGCGACCGGCGCACGGGUGAGUAACACGUAUGCAACCUGCCUCUGUCAGGGGGACAACCCGCCGAAAGGCGGGCUAAACCCGCGUACAUGCCACCGGGGCAUCCCGGAGGCAGGAAAGGCUUCGGCCGGACAGGGAUGGGCAUGCGGCGCAUUAGGCAGUAGGCGGGGUAACGGCCCACCUAACCGACGAUGCGUAGGGGUUCUGAGAGGAAGGUCCCCCACACUGGUACUGAGACACGGACCAGACUCCUACGGAAGGCAGCAG